UCUCAAAUCACUAUAGCCCAUGUCAAGUU
rnacentral:piRNA from 1 species